UACCAGGGUCAAAAGAUUACAUCUGAUGCAAGCUUGCUUGCAAGAAGAUUGUAAAUCUUGGGACCCGCCAAAACAUGAAUAAAUAGCCAUUUUUCAUAGAAAAAUGAGCGAAUUUAUGAAUGUUUUGGAGGAUUGUGAGAGCACGUAGUGCAAAACAAUCCGGU
rnacentral:sRNA from 1 species